CGCGUAGGCGGGAAUGCAAGUCAGAUGUGAAAUACCAAGGCUUAACCUUGGAACUGCAUCUGAAACUGUGUUUCUUGAGUGUCGGAGAGGAAAGCGGAAUUCCCCGUGUAGCGGUGAAAUGCGUAGAUAUGGGGAGGAACACCGGUGGCGAAGGCGGCUUUCUGGACGAUAACUGACGCUGAGGCGCGAAAGCGUGGGUAGCAAACAGGAUUAGAUACCCUGGUAGUCCACGCUGUAAACGAUGGAUACUAGGUGUAGGAGGUAUCGACCCCUCCUGUGCCGCAGUUAACACAAUAAGUAUCCCACCUGGGGAGUACGGCCGCAAGGCUGAA
rnacentral:rRNA from 1 species